CUUUGGAGCCUGUUCUGGAACUUGCUCUGUAGACCAGGCUGGCCUGGAACUCAGAGAUUAAAGGCGUGAGCCACCAUGUCCAAAGUGGAGGUCUGAAAUAUUCCCCCAUCACCCCACUUUUCCACCCCAACCUCUCCUCCACACCCUUAGCCGAGGACCAACCCAGGGCCUUGAGCUAGCUAGGCCAGCACUCUACCGUUAAUCCCUUCACCUUCAUUUCUUAAGGAUCUCUUAGUCAAGGCCAGAAUCCUCCUAGAUUAUGGUUCAUUUUCCUGGGCAGCUUGCUGGGGGUGAGAGAGAUUCCCCUGUCUGUGCCUUCUGAGGCUGGUGUUACAGGCAGGCCACUCUGCCAAACCAGGAGAGUUUCUGGUGAUCUGAAUGUGGGCCCUCUUGCUUGCACAGAAAGUUGGCUUAAAAAACGGAGUCAUCAGGCCGGGCGUUGGUGGCAUACGCCUUUAAUCCCAGCACUCGGGAGGUAGAGGCAGGCGGAUCUCUGUGAGUUUGAGACCAGCCUGGUCUGCAAGAGCUAGUUCCAGGACAGCCUCCAAAGCCACAGAGAAACCCUGUCUCAAAAAACUAAAAAAAAACCUGAGUCAUCUCAGCUCCACAAAUAGUUCUUUUAAGGUCAGGCCUACAUGAGGAGGGAAAAAAAAUGAAGGCAAGGCAAUGGAAUGAAUUCCACUGGAGACAGCUGCCUUUGUGAUGGGUGUUCUACAGCCCCGGGGCUGUUCAACUGCAGCGUGAUGAACCCUCUGAUAGCUCGCUUGGGGACUGGUUACGGAAAUGUAAUCCCUGACACUGAUCGCCAGGAGCAAGAACAUAAUUGUUUGGCUUUGAAGCAGAUGCUGGAGGGAACGGACAACGGACAACGGACCCGGCUGAAGCUGAACCAGGAAGAGGAGGAGCAGCUUUGCUGUGACUCCAACAGCCCAAAGGGCAGCUGGCAACAGUGCAGGGGUCGGGCGGGGCCUCCCAAACACAAUCCAGUCUCUCCCCAGAGAGCCCCGACCCUGGAGAGAGAGAGCGCAUCCAGGGGUGGCUGAGUAAGGGCAGGGUGAGGAUUACUGAGAGAGUUGGUGGCCAAGACAGCAGUGCUGGCCAGCGUGGAUGUGUCAUGAGCACUCAUUUCCAGAGGUGGGGCGCGGGGACAAGGGUACCAAGGAGACAGCGACAAGAAAAUAGCUGUGAAGAAACCAGAAGUAGAAGGAUGUGGCCAAGCCUCCAACAAAAAACGUCACAGCUCUAUGAUCCUAUAAACCACGAUAUGCCGCAGAGUUGGAGCAUGGGCAUGUGAUCUCUGCAGAGAACCUGACCAUCCAUGGACUCCAGAGCCCCGUGGCUGGCACAAGAGAGGUGUACCUCCACAAACAGAUAUAUGAAGCUUGCCCACAUUUGGAAAACAGUUUAAGCUAAUUAAAAACAAAACAAUAACAGAAAAACAAUAAGCCAGUGACAGAGCUGAUGACAGAGAAGACUACAAAAUUUAAGCCAGAGUCAUUCGUAUUUGGAGACGGCUCUAUUUUGGAGUGAAAGCUGUUUCCAUCGACAAUACCAAGUGUGGAUUUCCGUGUAGGCCUGGAA
ensembl:lncRNA